GAAGCUGGAAUCGCUAGUAAUCGCGGAUCAGCACGCCGCGGUGAAUACGUUCCCGGGCCUUGUACACACCGCCCGUCACACCAUGGAAGUCUGCAAUGCCCGAAGCCGGUGGCCUAACCACUUAUGUGGAAGGAGCCGUCUAAGGCAGGGCAGAUGACUGGGGUGAAGUCGUAACAAGGUAAC
rnacentral:rRNA from 1 species